AUCCUGGCUCAGAUUGAACGCUGGCGGCAGGCCUAACACAUGCAAGUCGAGCGGUAGCACAGAGAGCUUGCUCUCGGGUGACGAGCGGCGGACGGGUGAGUAAUGUCUGGGAAACUGCCUGAUGGAGGGGGAUAACUACUGGAAACGGUAGCUAAUACCGCAUAACGUCGCAAGACCAAAGUGGGGGACCUUCGGGCCUCAUGCCAUCAGAUGUGCCCAGAUGGGAUUAGCUAGUAGGUGGGGUAACGGCUCACCUAGGCGACGAUCCCUAGCUGGUCUGAGAGGAUGACCAGCCACACUGGAACUGAGACACGGUCCAGACUCCUACGGGAGGCAGCAGUGGGGAAUAUUGCACAAUGGGCGCAAGCCUGAUGCAGCCAUGCCGCGUGUGUGAAGAAGGCCUUCGGGUUGUAAAGCACUUUCAGCGGGGAGGAAGGCGUUAAGGUUAAUAACCUUGGCGAUUGACGUUACCCGCAGAAGAAGCACCGGCUAACUCCGUGCCAGCAGCCGCGGUAAUACGGAGGGUGCAAGCGUUAAUCGGAAUUACUGGGCGUAAAGCGCACGCAGGCGGUCUGUCAAGUCGGAUGUGAAAUCCCCGGGCUUAACCUGGGAACUGCAUUCGAAACUGGCAGGCUAGAGUCUUGUAGAGGGGGGUAGAAUUCCAGGUGUAGCGGUGAAAUGCGUAGAGAUCUGGAGGAAUACCGGUGGCGAAGGCGGCCCCCUGGACAAAGACUGACGCUCAGGUGCGAAAGCGUGGGGAGCAAACAGGAUUAGAUACCCUGGUAGUCCACGCCGUAAACGAUGUCGAUUUGGAGGUUGUGCCCUUGAGGCGUGGCUUCCGGAGCUAACGCGUUAAGUCGACCGCCUGGGGAGUACGGCCGCAAGGUUAAAACUCAAAUGAAUUGACGGGGGCCCGCACAAGCGGUGGAGCAUGUGGUUUAAUUCGAUGCAACGCGAAGAACCUUACCUACUCUUGACAUCCAGAGAACUUAGCAGAGAUGCUUUGGUGCCUUCGGGAACUGUGAGACAGGUGCUGCAUGGCUGUCGUCAGCUCGUGUUGUGAAAUGUUGGGUUAAGUCCCGCAACGAGCGCAACCCUUAUCCUUUGUUGCCAGCGGUCCGGCCGGGAACUCAAAGGAGACUGCCAGUGAUAAACUGGAGGAAGGUGGGGAUGACGUCAAGUCAUCAUGGCCCUUACGACCAGGGCUACACACGUGCUACAAUGGCAUAUACAAAGAGAAGCGACCUCGCGAGAGCAAGCGGACCUCAUAAAGUAUGUCGUAGUCCGGAUUGGAGUCUGCAACUCGACUCCAUGAAGUCGGAAUCGCUAGUAAUCGUAGAUCAGAAUGCUACGGUGAAUACGUUCCCGGGCCUUGUACACACCGCCCGUCACACCAUGGGAGUGGGUUGCAAAAGAAGUAGGUAGCUUAACCUUCG
rnacentral:rRNA from 1 species